UACGAAGGGGGGCUAGCGUUGCUCGGAAUUACUGGGCGUAAAGCGCACGUAGGCGGUCUUUUAAGUCAGGGGUGAAAUCCCAGAGCUCAACUCUGGAACUGCCUUUGAUACUGGGUAUCUUGAGUAUGGAAGAGGUAAGUGGAAUUGCGAGUGUAGAGGUGAAAUUCGUAGAUAUUCGCAGGAACACCAGUGGCGAAGGCGGCUUACUGGUCCAUAACUGACGCUGAGGUGCGAAAGCGUGGGGAGCAAACAGG
rnacentral:rRNA from 1 species